rnacentral:rRNA from 1 species
AGUGGCGCACGGGUGAGUAACGCGUGGGUAAUCUACCCCUGAAUUCGGGAUAACAUUGCGAAAGCGAUGCUAAUACCGAAUGACAUCCGAAUGUUUUCGGAUAUACGGAUCAAAGGUGGCCGCUCCAUGGAAGCUACUGUUCGGGGAUGAGCCCGCGUACCAUUAGCUAGUUGGCAGGGUAAAGGCCUACCAAGGCGACGAUGGUUAGCUGGUCUGAGAGGAUGAUCAGCCACACUGGAACUGACACACGGUCCAGACUCCUACGGGAGGCAGCAGUGAGGAAUUUUGCGCAAUGGGGGAAACCCUGACGCAGCAACGCCGCGUGAGUGAUGAAGGCCUUCGGGUCGUAAAGCUCUGUCGAGUGGGAAGAACCCGCAUCGGAACAACAAGUCGAUGCGCUGACGGUACCACUGAAGGAAGCACCGGCUAACUCCGUGCCAGCAGCCGCGGUAAUACGGAGGGUGCGAGCGUUAUUCGGAAUUAUUGGGCGUAAAGGGCACGUAGGCGGCCGCGUUAGUCAGCUGUGAAAUCCCGGGGCUUAACCCCGGAAGUGCAGUUGAUACUGCGCGGCUUGAGUAUGGAAGAGGGAAGUGGAAUUCCUGGUGUAGCGGUGAAAUGCGUAGAUAUCAGGAGGAACACCGGUGGCGAAGGCGACUUCCUGGACCAAUACUGACGCUGAGGUGCGAAGGCGUGGGGAGCAAACAGGAUUAGAUACCCU